rnacentral:rRNA from 1 species
GACGAACCGAGCGAACGUUGUUCGGAAUCACUGGGCUUAAAGGGUGCGUAGGCGGGCUAUCAAGUCUGGGGUGAAAUGCCACGGCUCAACCGUGGAACUGCCUCAGAUACUGACGGCCUCGAGGAAGGUAGGGGCAUGCGGAACUGUAGGUGGAGCGGUGAAAUGCGUUGAUAUCUACAGGAACUCCGGUGGCGAAAGCGACGUGCUGGACCUUUUCUGACGCUGAGGCACGAAAGCUAGGGGAGCAAACGGG